rnacentral:rRNA from 1 species
GACGAACGCUGGCGGCGUGCCUAAUACAUGCAAGUAGAACGCUGAAGGAGGAGCUUGCUUCUCCGGAUGAGUUGCGAACGGGUGAGUAACGCGUAGGUAACCUGCCUGGUAGCGGGGGAUAACUAUUGGAAACGAUAGCUAAUACCGCAUAAGAGUAGAUGUUGCAUGACAUUUGCUUAAAAGGUGCAAUUGCAUCACUACCAGAUGGAUCUGCGUUGUAUUAGCUAGUUGGUGGGGUAACGGCUCACCAAGGCGACGAUACAUAGCCGACCUGAGAGGGUGAUCGGCCACACUGGGACUGAGACACGGCCCAGACUCCUACGGGAGGCAGCAGUAGGGAAUCUUCGGCAAUGGACGGAAGUCUGACCGAGCAACGCCGCGUGAGUGAAGAAGGUUUUCGGAUCGUAAAGCUCUGUUGUAAGAGAAGAACGAGUGUGAGAGUGGAAAGUUCACACUGUGACG